rnacentral:rRNA from 1 species
CCUACGGGUGGCUGCAGUAGGGAAUAUUGGGCAAUGGAGGCAACUCUGACCCAGCCAUGCCGCGUGCAGGAUGACGGCCCUCUGGGUUGUAAACUGCUUUUAUACGGGAAGAAAAAAUACUACGUGUAGUAUACUGACGGUACCGUAAGAAUAAGGAUCGGCUAACUCCGUGCCAGCAGCCGCGGUAAUACGGAGGAUCCAAGCGUUGUUCGGAUUUAUUGGGUCGUAAGCGUAUUUAUACGUAUUUUUUGAAAGCCUGCAGCUUAACUGUAGAAUUGCCAUUGAAACUGAAAAUCUUGAAUUUGGUUAAAGUAGGCGGAAUGUAUCAUGUAGCGGUGAAAUGCUUAGAUAUGAUACAGAACACCGAUAGCGAAGGCAGCUUGCUGAACAAAUAUUGACGCUGAGGCACGAAAGCGUGGGGAGCGAACAGGAUUAGAUACCCCAGUAGUC